AACCUCCGCAAUGUACGAAAGUGCGACGGGGGGAUCCCAAGUGUUAUGCUUAAAGGUAUGACUUUUCAUUAGUGUAAAAAGCUUUUAGAAUAAGAGCUGGGCAAGACCGGUGCCAGCCGCCGCGGUAACACCGGCAGCUCGAGUGGUAGCUGUUUUUAUUGGGCCUAAAGCGUUCGUAGCCGGUUUGAUAAGUCUUUGGUGAAAGCUUGUAGCUUAACUAUAAGAAUUGCUGGAGAUACUAUCAGACUUGAAGUCGGGAGAGGUUAGCGGUACUCCCAGGGUAGAGGUGAAAUUCUGUAAUCCUGGGAGGACCACCUGUGGCGAAGGCGGCUAACUGGAACGAACCUGACGGUGAGGGACGAAAGCUAGGGGCGCGAACCGGAUUAGAUACCCGGGUAGUCCUAGCCGUAAACGAUGCGGACUUGGUGUUGGGAUGGCUUUGAGCCGCUCCGGUGCCGAAGGGAAGCUGUUAAGUCCGCCGCCUGGGAAGUACGGUCGCAAGACUGAAACUUAAAGGAAUU
rnacentral:rRNA from 1 species